rnacentral:rRNA from 1 species
GUUCCUACCGCCACGCUGGCGCUCAACAAGGAUGACUACCUCGCCAUCUUCCUUGCCGUGCUCGCCGCCACCAGCAAGGAGCAGCACGCGAGCGCGUGGAACCCGUCCCACGCGCCGGCUCAGGAGACGCGGUUCAGCUGCGCAGUCUGCGGGAAGGCGUUCGCGUCGUACUAGGCGCUCGAUGGGCAUAAGUCCAGCCACCGCAAGCCGCCGCCCACCGCGUCCGCAGGCGGUGGGUCGGAGAUGAGCAUGGCGGCGUCCUCGGGCGGGAGCAGCGGCGGCCUACAUCAGUGCACCGUCUGCGGGCGGGGCUUCAUGACCGGGCAGGCGCUCGGAGGGCACAAGUGCAGCCACUACUGGGAUGGCACCUCCGUGUCCAUGACAAUGUCCGUCUCCAUGUCGGCUUCCUGCGCUGUGCUGAGGAACUUCGACCUGAACCUGCUACCGAUGCCGGAGAAUGCAGGGAUGAAAAGGUGGGCCGAGGAGGAGGUGCAGAGCCCUCUGCCCACCAAGAAGCUGAGGCUUUUGCUGUAA